rnacentral:rRNA from 1 species
AGUCGAACGGACUUUAUGGGAUUAAUUCUUCGGAAAGCGUCCUGUAAAGUUAGUGGCGGACGGGUGAGUAACGCGUGAGCAACCUGCCUUUGAUAGGGGGAUAACAGAGGGAAACUUCUGCUAAUACCGCAUAAAGCAUGGGGAUCGCAUGGUCUCGAUGCCAAAGGAGCAAUCCGAUCAAAGAUGGGCUCGCGUCCGAUUAGAUAGUUGGUGGGGUAACGGCCUACCAAGUCGACGAUCGGUAGCCGGACUGAGAGGUUGAACGGCCACAUUGGAACUGAGAGACGGUCCAGACUCCUACGGGAGGCAGCAGUGGGGAAUAUUGGGCAAUGGACGAAAGUCUGACCCAGCGACGCCGCGUGAGGGAAGAAGGUCUUCGGAUUGUAAACCUUAGUCAACAGGGAAGAAGAAAGUGACGGUACCUGUGGAGGAAGCCACGGCUAACUACGUGCCAGCAGCCGCGGUAAUACGUAGGUGGCGAGCGUUAUCCGGAUUUACUGGGUGUAAAGGGUGUGUAGGCGGGAAGGCAAGUCAGAUGUGAAAACUAUGGGCUCAACCCAUA